rnacentral:rRNA from 1 species
UACGUAGGGCGCAAGCGUUGUCCGGAAUUAUUGGGCGUAAAGAGCUCGUAGGCGGCUUGUCACGUCGAUUGUGAAAGCUCGGGGCUUAACCCCGAGUCUGCAGUCGAUACGGGCUAGCUAGAGUGUGGUAGGGGAGAUCGGAAUUCCUGGUGUAGCGGUGAAAUGCGCAGAUAUCAGGAGGAACACCGGUGGCGAAGGCGGAUCUCUGGGCAUGUCCUGACGCUGAGGAGCGAAAGUGUGGGGAGCGAACAGG